UGGGAAUAUUGCACAAUGGGCGAAAGCCUGAUGCAGCGACGCCGCGUGCGGGAUGACGGCCUUGGGUUGUAAACCGCUUUCAGCUCUGACGAAGCUUUGUGACGGUAGGAGCAGAAGAAGCACCGGCUAACUACGUGCCGG
rnacentral:rRNA from 1 species